CCAGACUCCUACGGGAGGCAGCAGUGGGGAAUAUUGCACAAUGGGGGAAACCCUGAUGCAGCGACGCCGCGUGAGUGAAGAAGUAUUUCGGUAUGUAAAGCUCUAUCAGCAGGGAAGAAAAUGACGGUACCUGACUAAGAAGCCCCGGCUAACUACGUGCCAGCAGCCGCGGUAAUACGUAGGGGGCAAGCGUUAUCCGGAUUUACUGGGUGUAAAGGGAGCGUAGACGGCAUGGCAAGUCAGAUGUGAAAGCCCGGGGCUCAACCCCGGGACUGCAUUUGAAACUGUCAGGCUGGAGUGCAGGAGAGGUAAGUGGAAUUCCUAGUGUAGCGGUGAAAUGCGUAGAUAUUAGGAGGAACACCAGUGGCGAAGGCGGCCUGCUGGACGACAACUGACGGUGAGGCGCGAAAGCGUGGGGAGCAAACAGGAUUAGAUACCCUUGUAG
rnacentral:rRNA from 1 species